CCCAGCCCCAGCCGCACCGCAACCCCUCGCCCAGCGUCAGGGCGAGUGUCCACCAGGCGGCGCCCCCGCAGUACGCAGCCUACCAGCCGGCACCGCCCCCGCCGCCCACCUCCAGCCCCGCCUCUGCCGCAUCCCAGAUGAUGCGGCGCGACAGCGGGGGUAGCCUCCCCGACCUCCACCACCCGCUGCCCCCAUAGUCCGAGCGGUGGGCGGCGCAGCCGGGGGCGGAGAAGCGCGUGUGGGGCGCACUGCUGCUGCCGUCACCACCGCCGCCGCCGGGGCCGCGCUCCCCACCCCCGGGGCUCUGGUGACCGGGGGCAGCGCGCACUCGCCGCCGUCGGCCGCACUGCCGCCGCCGACUCACUUCGGCACCUCUCGCUAAAUAUUCAGUACAACGUUUUGCUCUGGUAGCGAACUAGUGAAGAUGACGUGCAAACAUUUCUUAUCGUUAGUGCCGUAGUAUAGUUCUGCUAGCCUGUUUUUGUAGAUGGCAUUCUUCUGUAAUGUGUAAAGAGGAAAGCUUAAACGUGGAUCGUGUCAGAAAUUUGCUCGUCACGUCCGGAUACGUUA